UAACAUACCUUCAAGUCUUUUCUUUAGGAGAAAAUCCCGCUCUAAAUUUUCCAAUUUAGCUGCAGAACCUACCCUCGUUGAUGAACGAAAAUCCUCGCCGCCCUAGAGUGAAAAUUAUUUGCACGGCUUCAUCUUUGGUGGGCCGAGUCUCGCUCUCUCCGCAAGGAGGGCGGCCGUUGCCUUCGCGUGUCGGCUGUAUAGAGACUGGUGAUGAUCUCAACCCCGAUCGCUCCGUUAGCCCUUGUGGCGCGAGGCCGGGGUGGGUGGUGGUGGACGUCUGAGAGGC
rnacentral:snoRNA from 1 species